GGGGAUGUAACUCAGUUAGUAGAGUACUUGCCUAGUAUACAGGAAGCCUUGGGUCCAAUUCCCAACAUCACAU
rnacentral:tRNA from 1 species